rnacentral:misc_RNA from 1 species
GCUCACGUCUGUUCACGGUAGAUGGUGUAUUUUAUCGAGCCAGAAAGCAAGAUGGUGUCUCUACAAAAUUUACUGUCUCUUGAAGAGAGACUUAGAGCUGAAAAUACAGAAGCGGCUCGGUUGAAUCAAGAAAGAAUGUCGAUCGACAACGAAGUUCCAUUCGUCCGGCAAGGCUCCGGAAGAAGACCCGGUCCAUUGCCCCUGCAGCCAAACGGAACACCUACUAGAGUGAGACACAACUUUGACCUUGCUGGGAUCAACAUCCCCAACUGCUCGACAAAUUCAAAACAGGCAGAAAUCGAAGCCAGGCUACAGGAGAUAAUUAAGCUCACUGGAAUUAUCACGGUUGAUGGCAAACGAUAUUUCAGCAGCAUACAUGACCUGGAACAUUUGGGAGAGCUAGGUUUUGGAUCUUGUGGUCAUGUCGUCAAAAUGAGGCAUCCACCCAGUAAUGCCAUAAUAGCAGUUAAGCAAAUGAGACGGUCGGGUAAUCGCGAAGAAAAUAAAAGGAUCACAAUGGACUUGGAAGUCGUAUUGAAAUCGCACGACUGCCCCUACAUCGUACAGUGCCUCGGCUGUUUCGUGACGGAAUCCGACGUAUGGAUUUGCAUGGAACUUAUGGGCACGUGCUUUGAUAAAUUACUCAAACGACUCAGGAAGCCCAUUAGCGAACCAAUUAUCGGAAAAAUCGCGGUCGCCACCGUCAAAGCCCUGCACUAUCUCAAGGAGACUCAUGGCGUUAUCCAUCGUGACGUGAAACCUUCCAAUAUCUUACUUGACGAGAGGGGAAAUGUUAAGCUGUGCGAUUUCGGCAUUUCUGGUUGGUUGGAGGAUUCGAAAGCAAAAACACGCAGUGCCGGAUGCGCUGCCUAUAUGGCCCCUGAACGAAUUGAACCACCUGACCCAUCCCAUCCGGAUUAUGACAUUCGAGCCGAUGUAUGGUCACUGGGCAUCACUCUGGUAGAAAUGGCAACGGGAAACUCACCCUACCGUGAUUGCCAGACGGAUUUUGAAGUGUUGGCCCGCGUUGUCCGUGACGACCCACCGCUCCUCUCUCAGUCGCAAGGAUUUAGCCCCGAGCUGUGCUCUUUUGUUCGUGAUUGUUUGACAAAGAAUUACAAGCACCGGCCAAAGUACAAGAAGCUGCUAGAACAUCCCUUCAUCAAGAAAUACGACGCGUUGCCGAUUGAUGUGUCAGUGUGGUACCAAACGGCGAUUCGUCAAAUUGAGAGCAGCCAACUGGUUCGGCAAUCACCGCAGCGUACUUCACAACGGAUGUGCACCCCGCCAUCGCCAAGUUUAAGAAGGGUUACUUCGGAACCGCCUCCAAUUCCGCCGCGGACGCCAGAGAGCCAGAGAAAACCAUUAUUGGUACGGCUUGCAUCCGAGCCAGUAGUUGAUGGACUCGAUUUCCAAACCGUCAACGGUCGAGUGACGGUGGUGGGCACCAAACAAUCACAGCAACAGCAGCAACAACAACAGUUUCAGUUCGAUCCUAAGCCACCGGCGGGCAAACCCAGUCCGCCUGUUUCAGGUCCGGUAGGACCAGGGGGCUUCCGUUUUAACCUACCUCUACGGCCACCAGCGCUUCCACCCCGACCUCCGCCGACGGGAGGAAACCCACAGCAGCAGAGCACUCAGCUUCAAACAUCACCUUCUGAAGAGACGCAGCCAUCACUAGGAAUGAGAGGCUUUAACCCGUCGCGCGUGACCAAUCCGCCAACUGAUUUACCUGGUCUACCUCCUCGUCCACCACCUGCUGUUGCCGAAUCGGCCGCCGAUCGAAAUAGUUCAUCCGUCACACGAUUGGCCCAGAUGUUUGGCACUCAAUUAUCUCCUGCCAGAUCGCCGACAACUACCGGUAGAGAUCCCAACGAGAUCUUCAAUUUGCCAUCCAACAGACGUCCAGCUGAUUCCCCUCCGGUCAUCCCUCCGCGCUUGUCGCCAGAGUCUGCCAACCCGCCUCCGCGUGCUUUCUUUUCCGAAGGACUAUUGGCUAGGAUCAGCCAAGAUCCCUUAUUUUCUCGCUUGUUGAAGCCCAGUUCCAGUUCCGACCAGUCUCACAACGGCGGACGAAACAACGGACAUCACCAGUCCAGCUCCGAUCAACGGUCAGCGCCUUCCUCCUCGUUAUUUGGCCGUCGCAUCUCUUCCGAAGGCUUAUCACUCAGGAGCAGGUAUUCACCUUCGCCUCCGCAACAUCCUCCACCACAGCCACCCGCUCGCCGGUUGUCUCAAUCAUCCGGGAGCGGUGGAGGCAGUGGUUACGCAAGUGGCGGAGGGGCUGGCUCAGCCUCUGUCCCUGCUUCACCAGUCCUCCAUCCAAGGCAUAUGGGUGAGAAUGUAAAUCCAUUCUCUUCCGGCUACGUUCUGCCACGCCAUUUAACGCCCGAGCCCCAGCGCCGCAGCUUUAGCCAGCGCUUCGAGCUCUAAGCAAACAAUUAAAGAAAGAUUCGUUCACUCCUCCCUUAUCCCCCUCUUCCUUCAAAUAAGUUUUUUUUUUUUUUUUUACCUAAAGCAACAAAAAAAAAAAAACAAAAAGAAAUUCAGUUAUUUUCUUUUUUAGGGUUUUUAUUUGCAUUAGCCUUGUAGGCCAUAUGACAGAAAUGGAUUUUUUGUUGUUCAUUUUUUAGCAGAUUAGCCUGUCUGCGUGAAACGUUGCCAAGAACGCUGUCGUUAGUGCGCGCCAUGGUAUUCAUGUCUAGUGUUGUGAACAACGCGCAGCCCGUUUCUUUUUCAUUUUUUUUUUAUUCGAAAACCUAAUAGUAAUUAAGAUAUAAAGGAACAAAAAAAAAGAAAAAAAAAUGGAAAAUAAUCGCCGGUUUUUUUUUUAACUUUGUUUUAGCUAUCCUUAUUUUCCAUCAGUUAUUUUAAUAAUAACAAUUUCGAGAUAUAUAAUUAAUUAUUGUAGAGAAUCAAUAACAAUAGCCUAUUUAAAAACAAAUUUGAUUUGCGUCCUUACUGUCCCAAUAUGUUUUCUUCUUCUUUCAUUACCAAAGUUUCCCCCCUUUUUUUUUUUGCGGCACUUUGUGACGUGCUUAAUUAUUAAUAAGUUAGAAGAAGAAGAAAAAAAGACGACGAUAUAUAUUAUUAUUAGAACGGUUAACGAUAUAAUUUCCCCCUCCAUUUGCCCCAAGAAAACAAAAAUUGUGAAAAAAAAAAGAUAAAUAUCGACGUAUUUUGUUUUGUACAAGUUUUUUCUAAGUUAAAACAAAAAGAAAAAGAGAGCGAGAUAACGAACGAAUGUUUUAUUUUCUCACUUUUGAUUUUCCAGCAUAGGCAGCCAUCCCCACCCAUGCAAAACAUAACACACAGCCCUUUUGGAUUUUAAACUAUUAUUUAAUAAUUAGUGAGUGCCUGUUAAGAGCGAUCCGCAUAUAUUAUUGUUCUAUCACACACUUGUCGAUUGAAAUGUUCUCUUUCUCUCCCUCCCUCUUUUGUCAUUUUUCAGUUAGCCAAUUUCAUCUCGUGUGUGUUUUGUUGUGUAACUCCAAAAAAAGUUUUAUGUUUUACGAUUCCUUGUCCUGUUCUAUCAGAUGCUGGGAGGGGAUUAUUCGCAAUUUUCUUUGAUUCUUCUCCCCACCGUAGAAAAGGAAAAAAACAAACAAACGUAGAAGAACUGCACGCGUUCAGUAGCAGCAGACUCGAUUAUCCACAGUUCGAGAUGACAUCCAAAUGAAACAUGCCAUACAACAAUAACAAAAAAAAAAAAAAUUAAAUAAAAAAAAAAAAAAAAGAUAAAUAAAAAAAAAAAAAUAAAUAAAUAAAAGCGAACAAGAGAAAUUUAUUUUGUCUUAUUAUUCCUUUUCUGAUAUACGUUUAUCAUUCUUCACCUAUCGUUUAUAGCGAGUGGCGCUCUCGGGAAACGUACUAUGCAAAGUAGUUGAUGAAAGUUGAGAUUUUACGGGAAGACUUUCACGUCCCAAACGUUAAGAAAUGUUGUCUCUUGCACUCUCUAGCGGUAACUUGAAACCCUUGUUGACAUAUCAAUAUCUAGACUUUUCCACCGAGGACAAAAUCAAGGCAUUUUCUUUUUGUCCCCUCAGAAAUAAUUAGCAAAAAACAUUUAUGAUGAAUGUAGCAUCCAUUUUUUUGUUUGUUGGGAUCGCUUUCCAGACGAGUUGCCAAAAAACACGUAAAGGUUUUUUAAAGAACGAAAAUAUUUCGUAAGAUGUUCUUAUCGACUCGAAAGAGAGAGAGAGAGACAUUGAGCGAUGAGCCACUAGGAAAAAUGCCCAACAAACAACGGGAUGCAGUAGCCAAAAAGAUCCUAAAAUACGGACUAGAGAACAGAAAAUGAUUUUGGACAUUGGCCCAUUGGUGAAAACAAAACGGGUCGCUUUCGAUUACCAAAAAAAGGAUGAAUAAAAAAAAAGAAAAUCUUUUUCAUCCAGCGUCCAUUGACACCAAAGUCGGACUUCUUUUACUGGUCAACACACCGACUGCAUAGUUCAUUGGAACAUAUACUUCUUGGCAAAGGGAAAAAAAGAAAGAGAGACGGAAAAUGUCUAAAGAAAUUCUUCGUAACUGAACCAGUGGACCCCCAAAAAGUUCCAAAAGUGAAAGCGUGUGGGUUCGACGCCAUAACCCUUUUAAAGGAUAUUGUACUGCUUUGUGUGAGCGCCAUAUAACGAACAAUAACUAGAUCCUCUUGAGGGCACAAAUAACUUGGUUAACAACGAGACACAAAAUGGCACUAUGGAUAUAUAAUAAGGACCGAAAAGAAAGUGAAAGUCAAUACUUUUUUUUUUAACGAAAUGGUCUACCUCUAUGAAGUUCACCUUGGCUAACAAGGAAUGCAUCCCCUGGCGGAGAGUGAUUUCAACAUGACCCAUGCAAUAAGUAAUUUCUAAACAAAAAUGGCGUCAUUGCCAGGCAAAUUACAAAAUCAUGAUUUUAGCAAGGAUUUCGGUUUCCCCCUCCAAAACCUCAAAAAGAGAAAUUGAUCAUGUUUCGCUUUGUUGAAUGAGAAGACCCACGAGAGACUGUUUCUUCUUAUCACGGCAAUUUUUUUUUAUUACUCAUGCUAUCCCCGAAAUGUGUGCGUGAAUAGAAAGAAUGAAAAAUAUCCAAACGAUAAUGCUUCGUGAAACAAUGGGAGGAAAGAAACGAAACAAAAGCUUGUGUCAUGCUCACCUCGUCUUCUUUUCACGUUGUUACGAAGAGAUAACACCAUGACACUUUAUCUGCUAUAAACUUUACACACGAAACUGUGAUGCAAAAUGAAGCACACGAAACGUUUCACUGUAGCUACUCACGCCAAAUGAUGGGUCUAUUCCCACGUGGUUUAACAGCAGACAGUUUUCACCUCGACUCUCCCCCCAACUCCAAAACACUUUGAUUUACCUGUUUUUCAUUUUCUUAGAAAUAAAAAAAAUAUAUAUAUGGAAAGAGCAGGGGAAAUGGUUACCUUUUUUUUUCUUGUUGGUCCUUGACCGGAACACUGAAGACGAAACAACCGACAACAGCUGGAAAAUCACCUUGAGAAUAGUGAAAUAAAAUUACAGGGAUAGUCGGUUAUUUUCCGAAAUUCUUUUCUAAAAGUUUGGCUCGAGGACCUCCAUAUAGCAACAGAAUUUAUGUUCCAGCACAAAUUGUCGUUUAUAAUAUGUUUGGAAUAGGCAAGUUUUGUACCUGUGAUUUUUUUUUUUU